CCUUGUACACACCGCCCGUCACACCAUGGGAGUUGGUUUUACCUUAAGACGGUGCGCUAACCGCAAGGAGGCAGCCGGCCACGGUAAGAUCAGCGACUGGGGUG
rnacentral:rRNA from 1 species